rnacentral:rRNA from 1 species
UACGAAGGGGGCUAGCGUUGUUCGGAAUUACUGGGCGUAAAGCGCACGUAGGCGGACUAUUAAGUCAGGGGUGAAAUCCCGGGGCUCAACCCCGGAACUGCCUUUGAUACUGGUAGUCUCGAGUCCGGAAGAGGUGAGUGGAAUUCCGAGUGUAGAGGUGAAAUUCGUAGAUAUUCGCAAGAACACCAGUGGCGAAGGCGGCUCACUGGCCCGAUACUGACGCUGAGGCACGAAAGCGUGGGGAGCAAACAGG